rnacentral:misc_RNA from 1 species
UAUUUACCUAGAAUUUAGGAGGUUACAGAGGUUAGCAUACAUACAAACUGUUCAAGCAAAGCUACAUGACAUUAGCCAUCACUGGUUUCUCAAUUAGCCAACUGGCUAACCAUUGGCAGAGGAUACAUCAUACAUGAAUAUCAAACCGAAAAGGUCACAUUUGAUACAAGUUUCAUCUAAUCUAGUUUACUAAACCAUAGAUAACUGGUUACUGAUUAAAAAAGUUAUAUCUAAACCAAUAUAUGAAUCUCAUAUCUUUCUGGGUACCUCAACACAAAGGUUUAUAUCAAGCCACCUGAAUAGACUAAACUGGAAUUAGAAAA